UAUGAAGAACGUAGCGAAAUGCGAUACGUAAUGUGAAUUGCAGAAUUCAGUGAAUCAUCGAGUCUUUGAACGCACAUUGCGCCCCCUGGUAUUCCGGGGGGCAUGCCUGUCCGAGCGUCAUUGCUGCCCUCAAGCACGGCUUGUGUGUUGGGCCUCCGCCCCCCGGCUCCCGGGGGGCGGGCCCGAAAGGCAGCGGCGGCACCGCGUCCGGUCCUCGAGCGUAUGGGGCUUCGUCACCCGCUCCGUAGGCCCGGCCGGCGCCCGCCGGCGACCCCCCUCAAUCUUUCCAGGUUGACCUCGGAUCAGGUAGGGAUACCCGCUGAACUUAAGCAUAUCAAUAAGCGGAGGA
rnacentral:misc_RNA from 1 species